rnacentral:tRNA from 2 species
GCGGGCAUAACUCAGUUGGUAGAGUGCGACCUUGCCAAGGUCGAUGUCGCCGGUUCGAGUCCGGUUGCCCGCUCCA